AUGCUUGCUCUGGUCGCCGCUAGUUCGUUCAUUACCAUGUUCAUGCGUGGAAUACAUCAUUCUAGUGCUCACAAAGUAAGUUUCCUGGAUCUUAUCUUUUGUUUUCAUGUUUUAAUUACAGGGAUUACAUUUGACAUAUUAGAUUGUCUUAUAUUUUGUUUGCCCACUAGGUGUUCAUCAUAUACUCAAACAUAGUUGUCUAGCUUAGCUAUAAAAAGUGAUAGAGAAGAGAUUGAGACUAAAUAAUCGUAGUAGUCCUCUUCAUAAUCAGAAGAUAAAGUUAGAAACUUACCUAUAGCCUCUAAACCAUGUCAUAUCAAACCAUGGACCUGACCAUUUAUAAAUGAUGGUGGCAAUUUAAUUAGAUGCGUCAAACAUGCCUGAAGCACGUUCGUUUAACUUCAAAUUUCCUAGCCAAGAUAGAGAAAAAUAAGAAAAAAAGGAUGAGAAAAGCAAACUAACCAUAGUGGACAGUACAAUAAAUCCACAUAGCCAUGCUAUAAAGGGAAAAAGAACAAGAAAAAUAUUUAACUUUGUAAAAGUAUUAUCAAAUCAUCAUGUAUGCAGGACCUUUUUUUUUUUUUUUUUUUUAGGUCAAGCAUGUGUGCAGGACCUUCUACUGGAAGUAUAUGGGGUAA
rnacentral:lncRNA from 1 species